rfam:Felis catus isolate Cinnamon breed Abyssinian chromosome A2, whole genome shotgun sequence.
GCCUGGGUGGCUCAGUUGGUUAAGCAUCUGACUCUUGAGUUCAGCUCAGGUUAUGAUCUCAUGGUCUGUGGGUUCAAGCCCCUCAUCAGGCU